rnacentral:rRNA from 1 species
UACGUGGGGGGCAAGCGUUGUUCGGAAUUACUGGGCGUAAAGGGUUCGUAGGUGGCUUACUAGGUCAGACGUGAAAUCCCGCAGCUUAACUGGGGAACUGCGUCUGAUACGGAUGGGCUAGAGUUCGGGAGAGGAGAGUGGAAUUCCCAGUGUAGAGGUGAAAUUCGUAGAUAUUGGGAAGAACACCGGUGGCGAAGGCGGCUCUCUGGACCGAGACUGACGCUGAGGCGCGAAAGCGUGGGGAGCAAACAGG